rnacentral:tRNA from 1 species
GGAGGGAUGACAGAGCGGCCGAAUGUGGCGGUCUUGAAAACCGCUGUGCGAUGACCUCGCACCCGGGGUUCGAAUCCCCGUCCCUCCG